GACGAACGCUGGCGGCGUGCUUAACACAUGCAAGUCGAACGGAAAGGCCCUGCUUUUGUGGGGUGCUCGAGUGGCGAACGGGUGAGUAACACGUGAGUAACCUGCCCUUGACUUUGGGAUAACUUCAGGAAACUGGGGCUAAUACCGGAUAGGAGCUCCUGCUGCAUGGUGGGGGUUGGAAAGUUUCGGCGGUUGGGGAUGGACUCGCGGCUUAUCAGCUUGUUGGUGGGGUAGUGGCUUACCAAGGCUUUGACGGGUAGCCGGCCUGGGGGGGGGACCGGCCCCAGUGGGACGGGGGUGCCGCCCAGACCCCUGCGGGGGGCAGGAGGGGGAAAUUGUGCAAAAGGGGCGGAGGCCUGAAGGAGCACCGCCGCGUGGGGGAGGGCGGCUUUGGGGUUGUAACACGUUUGCCCGUGAGACGAAGCGUGUGGGCGGGUAAGGGGAAAAAAGCCACCGGCAACUUCCG
rnacentral:rRNA from 1 species